GACGAACGCUGGCGGCGUGCCUAAUACAUGCAAGUAGAACGCAGAAGGUGGAGCUUGCUUCGCUGGAUGAGUAGCGAACGGGUGAGAACCGCGUAGUUAACCUGCCUGGUAGCGGGGGAUAACUAUUGGUAACGAUAGCUAAUACCGCAUAAUAGUAGAUGUUGCAUGACAUUUGCUUAAAAGGUGCAAUUGCAUCACUACCAGAUGGACCUGCGUUGUAUUAGCUAGUUGGUGGGGUAACGGCUCACAAAGGCGACGAUACAUAGCCGACCUGAGAGGGUGAUCGGCCACACUGGGACAGGGACACGGCCCAGACUCCUACGGGAGGCAGCAGUAGGGAAUCUUCGGCAAUGGACGGAAGUCUGACCGAGCAACGCCGCGUGAGUGAAGAAGGUUUUCGGAUCGUAAAGCUCUGUUGUAAGAGAAGAACGAGUGUGAGAGUGGAAAGUUCACACUGUGACGGUAUCUUACCAGAAAGGGACGGCUAACUACGUG
rnacentral:rRNA from 1 species